AGUAGUCUGCAGGGUGCGUCAGGUGGUACGUUAAUUUUUGAGCCUAACUAUUUGAACGGGAGUCCGCGUCUCAUCGCUGUGUGCUCAGUCCCGCCAAGCGAGACUGCCUAAUGCGCUGAGUAGGGCACCCACCUUUGAAGCAGGGUUCAAAUAGACGACCCCAACGGCCCACGUGGAUUACUC
rnacentral:other from 1 species